rnacentral:lncRNA from 1 species
AUACUGUCAGUGUAAGCUGCUUCACAUGGAGAUAUUUCUGGUGGGAGCAUAACAGUAUUUGCAUGAAGACUGAACAGGGGUUAGUUCUACCUAACCUUAGGUGCCCAAGGUGCAUCACAUAGAAGCCCAGUCAUAUCCAGAGGACAAUCAGAUCUCAGGUUCUUAUAUCAUCAUUAUGAAUAAUUCUUAUUUCAGAGAAAAAGGGAAAAGGUAAAGUAGGAGACUGUAGUAAGCACUGAGCAGAGCAAAAAUAAACAACACCAGUAAACAGAAGAGAAGCUGAUGUUGGGUGCUGCUGUUCUCCUGCCCAGUUCACCUAAAAAGCAUUUUCUUUCCUUAAGUCUUAGAAAAGAAACUGAAAGUCUGAUACAAGUGAAGGAAUCUGAAAAUGAUGCGUACCAAGAAACUGUGUUAAAAAUUCUUUCUUUAUUUGGCCAAAAGUCAUUUUGGUUAUUCAUUUUUCUUUUUCUCCAGCUUCCUAG